CUGUCCCUGCCCUGAUGCCCCUUGCCACUCACCCUUCACUCUGUCCCCAGUCACUGCGCACACACAGGUGUCUGUGAACCGGGUCAGGGGCAUAGCCUUCAUGACAGCUGCACUCUCCUGUGUCUGGGUCACAG